UUGUUGAUAAAAACAGAAAAAAAUUUAAAGUCGGAGAUUUCGUAAGAAUUAGCAAAGAAAAGAUGUUAUUUGAAAAAGGAUAUACACCCAAUUGGUCAACGGAAAUUUUUAAAAUCAGUAAGAUUAAUCUAACCAAUCCUGUAACAUUUCUGCUAGAAGAUAAAGAAGGUCAACCAAUCAAAGGAGCUUUUUAUAUUUGGGAAUUAUCAAAAACUCAAUAUCCUGACGUCUAUUUAGUUGAGAAAGUGAUUCGACGUAAAGGAACUAAAUUAUUUGUGAAAUGGUUAGGUUUACCAGAUAAUCAGAAUAGUUGGAUUGAAAUGAAAGAUAUUACCUAAUAAAUAAGAAAUAUAUAUACGAUAUAAUUAUUUAACGUCUAAUUUAGUUCCAUUUAAGAUGGCAACGAGUGUAGAACCUGUUAUAAAAAAAGUGCUGCAUUUUGAAAAAACCAUAAGCGAUAUUCGAUUACUAAUGAAACUGGAACUACUGAAAUUAGGACCGUGCCAGUUGAUGGAUAUAUUUCAUAAAUUACCGGAAACAUAUCAACAAGAUCAUGAUAUAAAGCUGAAUCUACCAUGUUUACAACAUUAUUAUAACAGUUUUGACGAAGAUCAGUUUGAUGGUCCUCCUUCAUCAAUAAAUAAUUGUGUUUCGUGUAUUUUAGAUGAUACAGGAAGCCAACAACAACAACAACAACAACAACAACAACAACAACAACAACCCACUGCGUUUCAAGUGUAAUGCCUCUUUUGAACUCAUCACUCAUCUUAUAUGUACAUCGUCUUCACUAGUGAAAGUCCUAACAACACAAGAUGGUCUCCUCUCUGGAAAAGUUUAUUUUUCAACGAUGUUGAUUACCAAUGGAAGAAGAUGAAUCUGGGUUAUUUGAGCAAUACUGCAAUAGAAAUAUUUAAAUAUGAAAAUGUUUCUAUAGCAAACUCUGUAAUAUAUUUUAAAUUAAGACUAGUUUUUACCAAUAGUAAUUAUAUUGAUACUGACUGGAAGAGACUUAUACUUAAUGAUCAUGAUGUAGUUUCAAUAAAAAAUUGUUUUAAUCAUGUUCCUACCUUUUUAGCAAUGUUUGGAAUUGUUUGUACAUGUUGGAUCGUUUUUAUGAUGUUCAUAGCGUUAGGUUUGGCUUAAAAACUGCAAUUAAAAAUUUAUUUAGGUGUAUGACUUUGUUAGUUUAAGUAUGUAGUUUGUUUUAUGUCUAAUAAAAAAUAAUAUUCAUUCUGAUUAUUUUUGUUAUCAUAUUUCCUGUCUAACGUUUUUUUCCUUAAAAACGUUAAAUUUUUAUCAGUUAUAUUUUGAAUUUUUUGAAUUUUUACGUAAGGAACCACAAUAUCCGGUUGCAAAGUUUAUGGAAUAUAAAAUCAUAUCGCAUCAAUGAUUAAUUCAUUUCUACUUCGACUGUCCGUGUAUGAAAGUAAUCAUGUUCAAGUGCUCUCAAUGCGAUAACAAGUUUACUCGCAAAGAUGCUUUAACACGUCAUGUAAAAAAACAUAGUGAUAAAUUAUCUAAACUCACUUGCACCGGAUGUAAAACGUCAUUUACGAGAUUUGAUAACUAUAGGCGUCAUAUUACAAAUUCAUCAUUGUGUUCAAUGGAUUCGGAUGAUAUGACUCCUAAAAAAGCCCGCCUGACAACUAGAACACCUUUACAAGAAGUUACUACUAACGCUCCAUCAUGUUCAUUUCAUCAAUUUUGUGAAAUAUGCAAUAGUCACUACAGAGGAUCCAGAUUAAACCAUUUACGUUCUUUAAAACAUAAAAGUGUCAUCUCCGCCAAAAUUAAUGAUGAUGAUGAUUUCGUUGAAGAAUAUCAAGUUGCCUUCAAAUCAAGAAUUACCUCAUACCGAUUGAAAAAUUCACAACUAGAUGACUUGGAAGUGUGCAAUUUUUUUGAAAGAAAUCAAGAUAAACUUAUCACUUUAAUAACUAGAAAACUGAGAGAAUUUAACCAACUUAAAAUUAAUUUCGAACUUUUUGCUAAAUAUAUUUUACCUUCUAAAGACAUUAUCGAAAUCAAAUCAUUCAACACUAAAAAUAUCAUCAUUUCAAUAUCGACAAAUAUUAAGGUAGAACUGGAAGAAAUAUGUGGCGUCAUAAAAAACAAAAUGAGUGAAUUCUUGGAAAAAGAUAGUGGUUGGAUUUUAAUGGAAAUUUUGUUUUUGGAACUUAAUAUCAACAAAUUCAAUCCACUACGUGCAUCAACAUAUAUACCAUUACCGAAGGACAUAGCGAAGCGGAGAGCGGUUAUCAAUAUUCAUAAUGAUGAUAAUGAAUGUUUCAAAUGGUCUGUUUUGGCACACCUUCAUUCAACUGAAGUAAAUGUUAAUCGACAUCGAGUUGAUGCUUAUCGUGAGUUUGAAGAGGAAUUAGAUUUUACAGAUAUUUCAUUUCCGGUUAAAUUAACUGAUAUUUUUAAAUUUGAAGCACUUAAUAAUAUUAGUGUAAAUGUCUAUGGAACAGAGCAGCGUUUUGAUCAUGAAAAAGGUAAAUGGGUAUCAGAUAUUAUAGGUCCCUUUUAUUUAACUUCUAAGAAACGAGACAUUCAUGUAAAUUUAUUACUUAUCGUAGACGAUGAAAGAAUGAUCAAACAUUACUGUCUGAUAAGCAACAUUUCUCGAUUAAUAAGUUCACAACUUUCCAAACAUAAUCAUGCUAAAUUUAUAUGUAACGGUUGUCUAUUAUUUUUUUCGAGUGAACAAAAAUUAGUUAAACAUCGUAAGUAUGCUUGUAAUGAAGUUGUCACUACAUUACCAACUUCUGAUCUGAUUAUAAAUAAAUUUGGUAAAGAAGUGCCUGGUAAUGAAUUAACAUUUCAAAAUUUUGAUAAAUCUCUUAAAGUUCCUUUUGUAUUUUAUUUCGAUUUUGAAUCUAUUUUAAAACCUUUACGCAAUGAUAAUUCAGCCG